rfam:Lupinus angustifolius cultivar Tanjil chromosome LG16, whole genome shotgun sequence.
GUUGCUUCUCUUGGUGAAUUCAUUUUUUUUUAUGUGGGGGAUGUUCUAGUUUCUGGAGCAUAUGUAAAAUUAAUUACCAGUUUUAAACAGCUUUGUGUAAUCUGGUAAACUU